rnacentral:lncRNA from 10 species
GAGUGCUGGUGUCAGUAUCAGCAUUAGUAUCAGCAGGGAGAAACUUCGGUGGGGACACCUGGAGAUCUAUAGGGGAUAUAAUUGGAGAGUUUUCCAAUGUAUGAGAAGAAAAAUGAACACAGAAAGAAGGUGGUAAAUUAUGCCUAAGUGGAGUACAGAAGAGGAUAAAGCCCUGGAGUCAGAGAGCCACAUGAGAGAAGGAGCUUGGGCCCGGAAUCAUUGUCGGAGCAGAGCACACCACCCUCAAUCCACAUCAGACUGACACGAACAAGAAAAACUUCCUUCGGCAAAGCAUUGCAGGCACGUGGUGAGCACAGGAAAAAACUGACCAAUCUUCAAAGAGAAAUGAAAAGCAAUGAAGACAUCUCAGAAAUUUGAGGUUUUGAAGUGUUAGGGAAAAAAAAUUGCUUCUAGACCCCAGACAGUAAGAAGCAAAAUUGAAAAAAGCUUGAACAAAGGCCCAGUAAAUUUUCUCAGUUGUAUAAAGUCACUUAGAUUGAGCAUGAAAUCUGCUUUAGAUGGUGGUAAGGUAGCCACUGUUAAGUAAUGAAGCCCACACCCAUGUUCUCAGCAGCACUACACACACAACAGCUGAGAGGCGGAGAAAAUCCAGGCGUACAUAGAUAAAGGAAUGGAUAAGGAAAACGCGGUCUAUACACACAAUGGAAAAUUGUUCAGUCUUAAAAAGAAAGAAAAUGCAAACACAUACUACAACAUGGAAGAACCUUAACUAUAUCAUGCUAAGUGAAAUAAGCCAGUUACGAAAGAUCAAUACUGUAUGAUUCCACUUACCUGUGAAAUACCUAGAGUAGUCAAAUCCAUAGAAACGGAAAGUAGAAUGGUGGUUGCUAGGGGCUGGGAGGAGGAGGAAAUGGGAGUUUUUUUAAACAGGUAUAGAGUUUCAGUUUGCAAGACGGAAAGAGUCCUGGUGAUUGCUUGUACAACGUGACUUAUACUUUUUAAAAAUUAUUAUUAUACCUUAAGUUCUGGGAUAUAUGUGCAGAAUGUGCAGGUUUGUUACAUAGGUAUACAUGUGAAACGGUGGUGUGCUGCACCCAUCAACCCAUCAUCUACAUUAGGUAUUUCUCCUAAUGUUAUCCCUCCCCUAGCCCCCCACCCAGUGUGUGAUGUUCCCCUCCCCGUGUCCAUGUUUUCUCAUUGUUCAACUCCCACUUAUAAGUGAGAACAUGCAGUGUUUGGUUUUCUGUUCCUGUGUUAGUUUGCUGAGAAUGACGGUUUCCAGCUUCACUCAUGUCCCUGCAAAGGACACGAAUUCAUCCUUUAUGGCUGCAUAGUAUUCCGUGGUAUAUAUGUGCCACAUUUUCUUUAUCCAGUCUAUCAUUGAUGGGCAUUUGGGUUACUUCCAAGUCUUUGCUAUUGUGAACACUGCUGCAAUAAACAUACGUGUGUAUGUGUCUUUAUAGUAGAAUGAUUCAUA